UACGAAGGGGGCUAGCGUUGCUCGGAAUUACUGGGCGUAAAGCACACGUAGGCGGAUUGUUAAGUCGGGGGUGAAAUCCUGGAGCUCAACUCCAGAACUGCCUUCGAUACUGGCGAUCUCGAGUUCGGGAGAGGUGAGUGGAACUGCGAGUGUAGAGGUGAAAUUCGUAGAUAUUCGCAAGAACACCAGUGGCGAAGGCGGCUCACUGGCCCGAUACUGACGCUGAGGUGCGAAAGCGUGGGGAGCAAACAGG
rnacentral:rRNA from 1 species